rnacentral:lncRNA from 1 species
ACGGGAUCUGAAAAACACCCAGAGGAUCCCAUCCAGGAUCUCACAGAGCUUUUAGUCAUUGCAUCUCCGUUAUAAGUCUCCAAGCUGAGAUGGUGCCUCCGUUCAGAGAGUAUUUAUCAAAAAUGUUUUCUCCCGAGAUUGUGGCUGUUGUAAAGUACAUCUGAUUGUAUAGGAGACAGACAAUUGAACGUUAAAAUCACAGCUUGAACCAGCUAUGUCAAGAGUUUGAAACUCACUUUUUGCUGCUUUGUAUAUUGAAACAAAUACUCCUAUUACAAGUCAUUUUUAAAAAACUACAAGUAAUUUUUUGAUUCUAAAACAUCGGGGGUUUUUUUUGGCCCUUAAUUGAGAUAAUGGCUUGAAGAGUGAUUCAAUUUAGAAGAUGCUGUAUAUGAAAAUGCAAGUAACAAAUUGAGACAUAUCUUACUGAUUUAUGGCUUCAUUACCCAGAAUAUUGGCUUUUGCACCCUGUAAGCAGCCCCUUGAAUAUAAUGGCUGAAGGGAACUCUGAUGUAUCUGAAAGCAUCAGAAAGGGAUUUCCGUAGAGGAUAUAAUGUUUAUAAUGUUUUCCUUUAGUGCUGUUUCAUAGUCACCUUUCCCAAAUCAACUCCAUUUUGGUGAACUUCAUGUAAUGAAAUGAAACU